rnacentral:tRNA from 1 species
AAUCCCGUCCAGACCGCUUUCAUUAUUUUUUAUGUUUAAUUUUAUAUUUAAUAAGAUCUUCUAUGGAUAUAAUU